CACCUACGGGUGGCUGCAGUAACGAGUAUUGGACAAUGGGCGAAAGCCUGAUCCAGCGACGCCGCGUGCAGGACGAAGUCCUUCGGGAUGUAAACUGCUGUCAGGGACCACCAAGCAACAGGGGCGAAUACCCCCUGGAGUUGAGGAAUCCCAGAGGAAGCCACGGCUAACUUCGUGCCAGCAGCCGCGGUAAGACGGAGGCCCCGAGCGUUGUUCGGAAUCACUGGGCUUAAAGCGCGUGUAGGCGGGUCGGUGCGUACCUUGUGAAAGCCCUCGGCUCAACCGAGGAAUUGCUGGGUAUACGGCCGGUCUUGAGGCAGGUAGAGGCACCUGGAACCUUAGGUGGAGCGGUGAAAUGCGUAGAUAUCUAAGGGAAUGCCUGUGGCGAAAGCGGGGUGCUGGGCCUGUCCUGACGCUGAGACGCGAAAGCGUGGGGAGCAAACAGGAUUAGAUACCCUGGUAGUCCACGCCGUAAACGAUGCACACUAGACGUUGGGGCCUCUGACGGAACCGGCGUCGUAGCAAAAGUGCUAAGUGUGCCGCCUGGGGAGUACGGCCGCAAGGCUAAAACUCAAAGGAAUUGACGGGGGCUCACACAAGCGGUGGAG
rnacentral:rRNA from 1 species